rnacentral:rRNA from 1 species
GUUUGAUCCUGGCUCAGAAUCAACGCUGGCGGCGCGCCUAACACAUGCAAGUCGAACGAGAAAGCCCGCAAGGGUGAGUACAGUGGCGUACGGGUGAGUAACACGUGGAUUAUCUACCCUCUAGUGGGGAAUACCGUUGGGAAACCGACGACAAUACCGCAUAAUCUCGAGAGAGGAAAGCAGCAAUGCGCUGGAGGAGGAGUCCGCGGCUGAUUAGCUAGUUGGUGAGGUAAUGGCUCACCAAGGCUUAGAUCAGUAGCCGGCCUGAGAGGGCACACGGCCACACUGGCACUGAAACACGGGCCAGACUCCUACGGGAGGCAGCAGUGGGGAAUCUUGCACAAUGGGGGCAACCCUGAUGCAGCGACGCCGCGUGAGCGAUGAAGCCCUUCGGGGUGUAAA